GAGCUGGAGUUGAACCAGGGACCUUUGGACCACAGCGUUUCAGGAACUUCUUACAGUCAUGUGCUCUACCAACUGAGCUAUGAAGGUGCUUAUAGAUGAAAACGCAGAAAACAUAGUGGCUUCGGCGACACACUUUGCCAAAACAACAAUCAAGCCACCUGGUCAAUGAAAAAGGAUGAACAGUGCAUAUACAAAUGAAAUCUGUUGCUUGGAGCUGGAGUUGAACCAGCGACCUUUGGACCACAGCGUUUCAGGAACUUCUUAAAGUCAUGUGCUCUACCAACUGAGCUAUGAAGGUGCUUAUAGAUAAAAACGCAGAAAACAUAGUGGCUUCGGCGACACACUUUGCCAAAACAACAAUCAAGCCACCUGGUCAAUGAAAAAGGUUGAACAGUGCAUAGACAAUUGAAAUCUGGUGUUUGGAGCAGGAGUUGAACCAGCGUCCUAUGGACCACAGCGUUUCAGGAACUUCUUAAAGUCAUGUGCUCUACCAACUGAGCUAUGAAGGUGCUUAUAGAUAAAAACGCAGAAAACAUAGUGGCUUCGGCGACACACUUUGCCAACACAACAAUGAAGCCACCUGGUCAAUGAAAAAGGAUGAACAGUGCAUAUACAAAUGAAAUCUGGUGCUUGGAGCUGGAGUUGAACCAGGGACCUUUGGACCACAGCGUUUCAGGAACUUCUUACAGUCAUGUGCUCUACCAACUGAGCUAUGAAGGUGCUUAUAGAUGAAAACGCAGAAAACAUAGUGGCUUCGGCGACACACUUUGCCAACACAACAAUCAAGCCACCUGGUCAAUGAAAAAGGUUGAACAGUGCAUAGACCAAUGAAAUCUGGUGUUUGGAGCAGGAGUUGAACCAGCGACCUUUGAACCAGAGCGUUUCAAGAACUUCUUAAAGUCAUGUGCUCUACCAAAUGAGCUAUGAAGGUGCUUAUAGAUAAAAACGCAGAAAACAUAGUGGCUUCGGCGACACACUUUGCCAACAUAACUAUUGAACCAACAUGGUCAAUGAAAAAGGUUGAACAGUGCAUAGACCAAUGAAAUCUGGUGUUUGGAGCAGGAGUUGAACCAGCGUCCUUUGGACCACAGCGUUUCAGGAAAUUCUUAAAGUCAUGUGCUCUACCAACUGAGCUAUGAAGGUGCUUAUAGAUAAAAACGCAGAAAACAUAGUGGCUUCGGCGACACACUUUGCCAACAUAACUAUUGAACCAACAUGGUCAAUGAAAAAGGUUGAACAGUGCAUACACCAAUGAAAUCUGGUGUUUGGAGCUGGAGUUGAACCAGCGUCCUUUGGACCACAGCGUUUCAGGAACUUCUUAAAAUAAUGUGCUCUACCAACUGAGCUAUGAAGGUGCUUAUAGAUAAAAACGCAGAAAACAUAGUGGCUUCGGCGACACACUUUGCCAAAACAACAAUCAAGCCACCUGGUCAAUGAAAAAGGAUGAACAGUGCAUAUACAAAUGAAAUCUGGUGCUUGGAGCUGGAGUUGAACCAGCGACCUUUGGACCACAGCGUUUCAGGAACUUCUUAAAGUCAUGUGCUCUACCAACUGAGCUAUGAAGGUACUUAUAUAUAAAAUCGCAGAAAACAUAGUGGCUUCGGCGACACACUUUGCCAACAUAACUAUUGAACCAACAUGGUCAAUGAAAAAGGUUGAACAGUGCAUAGACCAAUGAAAUCUGGUGUUUGGAGCAGGAGUUGAACCAGCGACCUUUGGACCACAGCGUUUCAGGAACUUCUUAAAGUCAUGUGCUCUACCAACUGAGCUAUGAAGGUGCUUAUAGAUAAAAACGCAGAAAACAUAGUGGCUUCGGCGACACACUUUGCCAACACAACAAUCAAGCCACCUGGUCAAUGAAAAAGGAUGAACAGUGCAUAUACAAAUGAAAUCUGUUGCUCGGAGCUGGAGUUGAACCAGUGACCUUUGGACCACAGCGUUUCAGGAACUUCUUACAGUCAUGUGCUCUACCAAGUGAGCUAUGAAGGUGCUUAUAGAUGAAAACGCAGAAAACAUAGUGGCUUCGGCGACACACUUUGCCAACACAACGAUAAAGCCACCUGGUCAAUGAAAAAGGUUGAACAGUGCAUAGACCAAUGAAAUCUGGUGUUUGGAGCAGGAGUUGAACCAGCGACCUUUGAACCAGAGCGUUUCAAGAACUUCUUACAGUCAUGUGCUCUACCAAAUGAGCUAUGAAGGUGCUUAUAGAUAAAAACGCAGAAAACAUAGUGGCUUCGGCGACACACUUUGCCAACAUAACUAUUGAACCAACAUGGUCAAUGAAAAAGGUUGAACAGUGCAUAGACCAAUGAAAUCUGGUGUUUGGAGCAGGAGUUGAACCAGCGUCCUUUGGACCACAGCGUUUCAGGAACUUCUUAAAGUCAUGUGCUCUACCAACUGAGCUAUGAAGGUGCUUAUAGAUAAAAACGCAGAAAACAUAGUGGCUUCGGCGACACACUUUGCCAACAUAACUAUUGAACCAACAUGGUCAAUGAAAAAGGUUGAACAGUGCAUACACCAAUGAAAUCUGGUGUUUGGAGCUGGAGUUGAACCAGCGUCCUUUGGACCACAGCGUUUCAGGAACUUCUUAAAGUCAUGUGCUCUACCAACUGAGCUAUGAAGGUGCUUAUAGAUAAAAACGCAGAAAACAUAGUGGCUUCGGCGACACACUUUGCCAACAUAACUAUUGAACCAACAUGGUCAAUGAAAAAGGUUGAACAGUGCAUAUACAAAUGAAAUCUGGUGCUUGGAGCUGGAGUUGAACCAGGGACCUUUGGACCACAGCGUUUCAGGAACUUCUUACAGUCAUGUGCUCAACCAACUGAGCUAUGAAGGUGCUUAUAGAUGAAAACGCAGAAAACAUAGUGGCUUCGGCGACACACUUUGCCAAAACAACAAUCAAGCCACCUGGUCAAUGAAAAAGGAUGAACAGUGCAUAUACAAAUGAAAUCUGUUGCUUGGAGCUGGAGUUGAACCAGCGACCUUUGGACCACAGCGUUUCAGGAACUUCUUAAAGUCAUGUGCUCUACCAACUGAGCUAUGAAGGUGCUUAUAGAUAAAAACGCAGAAAACAUAGUGGCUUCGGCAACACACUUUGCCAAAACAACAAUCAAGCCACCUGGUCAAUGAAAAAGGUUGAACAGUGCAUAGACCAAUGAAAUCUGGUGUUUGGAGCAGGAGUUGAACCAGCGUCCUUUUGACCACAGCGUUUCAGGAACUUCUUAAAGUCAUGUGCUCUACCAACUGAGCUAUGAAGGUGCUUAUACAUAAAAACGCAGAAAACAUAGUGGCUUCGGCGACACACUUUGCCAACACAACAAUGAAGCCACCUGGUCAAUGAAAAAGGAUGAACAGUGCAUAUACAAAUGAAAUCUGGUGCUUGGAGCUGGAGUUGAACCAGGGACCUUUGGACCACAGCGUUUCAGGAACUUCUUACAGUCAUGUGCUCUACCAACUGAGCUAUGAAGGUGCUUAUAGAUGAAAACGCAGAAAACAUAGUGGCUUCGGCGACACACUUUGCCAACACAACAAUCAAGCCAUGUGGUCAAUGAAAAAGGUUGAACAGUGCAUAGACCAAUGAAAUCUGGUGUUUGGAGCAGGAGUUGAACCAGCGACCUUUGAACCAGAGCGUUUCAAGAACUUCUUAAAGUCAUGUGCUCUACCAAAUGAGCUAUGAAGGUGCUUAUAGAUAAAAACGCAGAAAACAUAGUGGCUUCGGCGACACACUUUGCCAACAUAACUAUUGAACCAACAUGGUCAAUGAAAAAGGUUGAACAGUGCAUAGACCAAUGAAAUCUGGUGUUUGGAGCAGGAGUUGAACCAGCGUCCUUUGGACCACAGCAUUUCAGGAACUUCUUAAAGUCAUGUGCUCUACCAACUGAGCUAUGAAGGUGCUUAUAGAUAAAAACGCAGAAAACAUAGUGGCUUCGGCGACACACUUUGCCAACAUAACUAUUGAACCAACAUGGUCAAUGAAAAAGGUUGAACAGUGCAUAGACCAAUGAAAUCUGGUGUUUGGAGCUGGAGUUGAACCAGCGUCCUUUGGACCACAGCGUUUCAGGAACUUCUUAAAAUAAUGUGCUCUACCAACUGAGCUAUGAAGGUGCUUAUAGAUAAAAACGCAGAAAACAUAGUGGCUUCGGCGACACACUUUGCCAAAACAACAAUCAAGCCACCUGGUCAAUGAAAAAGGAUGAACAGUGCAUAUACAAAUGAAAUCUGUUGUUUGGAGCUGGAGUUGAACCAGCGACCUUUGGACCACAGCGUUUCAGGAACUUCUUAAAGUCAUGUGCUCUACCAUCUGAGCUAUGAAGGUGCUUAUAGAUAAAAACGCAGAAAACAUAGUGGCUUCGGUGACACACUUUGCCAAAACAACAAUCAAGCCACCUGGUCAAUGAAAAAGGAUGAACAGUGCAUAUACAAAUGAAAUCUGGUGCUUGGAGCUGGAGUUGAACCAGGGACCUUUGGACCACAGCGUUUCACGAACUUCUUACAGUCAUGUGCUCUACCAACUGAGCUGUGAAGGUGCUUAUAGAUGAAAACGCAGAAAACAUAGUGGCUUCGGCGACACACUUUGCCAAAACAACAAUCAAGCCACCUGGUCAAUGAAAAAGGAUGAACAGUGCAUAUACAAAUGAAAUCUGUUGCUUGGAGCUGGAGUUGAACCAGCGACCUUUGGACCACAGCGUUUCAGGAACUUCUUAAAGUCAUGUGCUCUACCAACUGAGCUAUGAAGGUGCUUAUAGAUAAAAACGCAGAAAACAUAGUGGCUUCGGCGACACACUUUGCCAACACAACAAUCAAGCCACCUGGUCAAUGAAAAAGGUUGAACAGUGCAUAGACCAUUGUAAUCUGGUGUUUGGAGCAGGAGUUGAACCAGCGACCUUUGGACCACAGCGUUUCAGGAACUUCUUACAGUCAUGUGCUCUACCAACUGAGCUAUGAAGGUGCUUAUAGAUAAAAACGCAGAAAACAUAGUGGCUUCGGCGACACACUUUGCCAACAUAACUAUUGAACCAACAUGGUCAAUGAAAAAGGAUGAACAGUGCAUAUACAAAUGAAAUCUGGUGCUUGGAGCAGGAGUUGAACCAGCGUCCUUUGGACCACAGCGUUUCAGGAACUUCUUCAAGUCAUGUGCUCUACCAACUGAGCUAUGAAGGUGCUUUUAGAUACAACCGCAGAAAACAUAGUGGCUUCGGCGACACACUUUGCCAACACAACAAUCAAGCCACCUGGUCAAUGAAAAAAGAUGAACAGUGCAUAUACAAAUGAAAUCUGGUGCUUGGAGCUGGAGUUGAACCAGCAACCUUUGGACAACAGCAUUUCAGGAACUUCUUAAAGUCAUGUGCUCUACUAACUGAGCUAUGAAGGUGCUUAUAGAUAAAAACGCAGAAAACAUAGUGGCUUCGGCGACACACUUUGCCAACAUAACUAUUGAACCAACAUGGUCAAUGAAAAAGGUUGAACAGUGCGUAGACCAAUGAAAUCUGGUGUUUGGAGCAGGAGUUGAACCAGCGUCCUUUGGACCACAGCGUUUCAGGAACUUCUUAAGGUCAUGUGCUCUACCAACUGAGCUAUGAAGGUACUUAUAGAUAAAAUCGCAGAAAACAUAGUGGCUUCGGCGACACACUUUGCCAAAACAACAAUCAAGCCACCUGGUCAAUGAAAAAGGAUGAACAGUGGAUAUACAAAUGAAAUCCGGUGCUUGGAGCUGGAGUUGAACCAGCGACCUUUGGACCACAGCAUUUCAGGAACUUCUUAAAGUCAUGUGCUCUACCAACUGAGCUAUGAAGGUGCUUAUAGAUAAAAACGCAGAAAACAUAGUGGCUUCGGCGACACACUUUGCCAACAUAACUGUUGAACCAACAUGGUCAAUGAAAAAGGUUGAACAGUGCAUAGACCAAUGAAAUCUGGUGUUUGGAGCAGGAGUUGAACCAGCGUCCUUUGGACCACAGCGUUUCAGGAACUUCUUAAAGUCAUGUGCUCUACCAACUGAGCUAUGAAGGUGCUUUUAGAUACAACCGCAGAAAACAUAGUGGCUUCGGCGACACACUUUGCCAACACAACAAUCAAGCCACCUGGUCAAUGAAAAAGGAUGAACAGUGCAUAUACAAAUGAAAUCUGGUGCUUGGAGCUGGAGUUGAACCAGGGACCUUUGGACCACAGCGUUUCAGGAACUUCUUACAGUCAUGUGCUCUACCAACUGAGCUAUGAAGGUGCUUAUAGAUGAAAACGCAGAAAACAUAGUGGCUUCGGCGACACACUUUGCCAAAACAACAAUCAAGCCACCUGGUCAAUGAAAAAGGAUGAACAGUGCAUAUACAAAUGAAAUCUGUUGCUUGGAGCUGGAGUUGAACCAGCGACCUUUGGACCACAGCGUUUCAGGAACUUCUUAAAGUCAUGUGCUCUACCAACUGAGCUAUGAAGGUGCUUAUAGAUAAAAACGCAGAAAACAUAGUGGCUUCGGCGACACACUUUGCCAAAACAACAAUCAAGCCACCUGGUCAAUGAAAAAGGUUGAACAGUGCAUAGACCAUUGAAAUCUGGUGUUUGGAGCAGGAGUUGAACCAGCGACCUUUGGACCACAGCGUUUCAGGAACUUCUUACAGUCAUGUGCUCUACCAACUGAGCUAUGAAGGUGCUUAUAGAUAAAAACGCAGAAAACAUAGUGGCUUCGGCGACACACUUUGCCAAAACAACAAUCAAGCCACCUGGUCAAUGAAAAAGGAUGAACAGUGCAUAUACAAAUGAAAUCCGGUGCUUGGAGCUGGAGUUGAACCAGCGACCUUUGGACCACAGCGUUUCGGGAACUUCUUAAAGUCAUGUGCUCUACCAACUGAGCUAUGAAGGUGCUUAUAGAUCAAAACGCAGAAAACAUAGUGGCUUCGGCGACACACUUUGCCAACAUAACUAUUGAACCAACAUGGUCAAUGAAAAAGGUUGAACAGUGCAUAGACCAAUGAAAUCUGGUGUUUGGAGCUGGAGUUGAACCAGCGUCCUUUGGACCACAGCGUUUCAGGAACUUCUUAAAGUCAUGUGCUCUACCAACUGAGCUAUGAAGGUGCUUAUAGAUACAAACGCAGAAAACAUAGUGGCUUCGGCGACACACUUUGCCAACAAUACAAUUGGACCCACAUGGUCAAUGAAAAAGGAUGAACAGUGCAUAUACAAAUGAAAUCUGGUGCUUGGAGCUGGAGUUGAACCAGGGACCUUUGGACUACAGCGUUUCAGGAACUUCUUACAGUCAUGUGCUCUACCAACUGAGCUAUAAAGGUGCUUAUAAAUGAAGACGCAGAAAACAUAGUGGCUUCGGCGACACACUCUGCCAACACAACAAUCAAGCCACCUGGUCAAUGAAAAAGGUUGAACAGUGCAUAGACCAAUGAAAUCUGGUGUUUGGAGCAGGAGUUAAACAGCGACCUUUGAACCAGAGCGUUUCAAGAACUUCUUAAAGUCAUGUGCUCUACCAAAUGAGCUAUGAAGGUGCUUAUAGAUAAAAACGCAGAAAACAUAGUGGCUUCGGCGACACACUUUGCCAACAUAACUAUUGAACCAACAUGGUCAAUGAAAAAGUUUGAACAGUGCAUAGACAAAUGAAAUCUGGUGUUUGGAGCUGGAGUUGAACCAGUGUCCUUUGGACCAGAGCGUUUCAAGAACUUCUUAAACACAUGUGCUCUACCAACUGAGCUAUGAAGGUGCUUAUAGAUAAAAACGCAGAAAACAUAGUGGCUUCGGCGACACACUUUGCCAACAUAACUAUUGAACCAACAUGGUCAAUGAAAAAGUUUGAACAGUGCAUAGACAAAUGAAAUCUGGUGUUUGGAGCUGGAGUUGAACCAGUGUCCUUUGGACCACAGCGUUUAAGGAUCUUCUUAAAGUCAUGUGCUCUACCAACUGAGCUAUGAAGGUGCUUAUAGAUAAAAACGCAGAAAACAUAGUGGCUUCGGCGACACACUUUGCCAAAACAACAAUCAAGCCACCUGGUCAAUGAAAAAGGAUGAACAGUGCAUAUACAAAUGAAAUCUGGUGCUUGGAGCUGGAGUUGAACCAGCGACCUUUGGACCACAGCGUUUCAGGAACUUCUUAAACACAUGUGCUCUACCAACUGAGCUAUGAAGGUGCUUAUAGAUAAAAACGCAGAAAACAUAGUGGCUUCGGCGACACACUUUGCCAACAAUACAAUUGGACCCACAUGGUCAAUGAAAAAGGUUGAACAGUGCUUAGACAAAUGAAAUCUGGUGUUUGGAGCAGGAGUUGAACCAGCGACCUUUGGACCACAGCGUUUCGGGAACUUCUUAAAGUCAUGUGCUCUACCAACUGAGCUAUGAAGGUGCUUAUAGAUAAAAACGCAGAAAACAUAGUGGCUACGGCGACACACUUUGCCAAAACAACAAUCGAGCCACCUGGUCAAUGAAAAAGGAUGAACAGUGCAUAUACAAAUGAAAUCUGGUGCUUGGAGCUGGAGUUGAACCAGCGACCUUUGGACCACAGCGUUUUAGGAACUUCUUAAAGUCAUGUGCUCUACCAACUGAGCUAUGAAGAUGCUUAUAGUUAAAAACGCAGAAAACAUUGUGGCUUCGGCGAAACACUUUGCCAACAUAACUAUUGAACCAACAUGGUCAAUGAAAAAGGUUGAACAGUGCAUAGACCAAUGAAAUGUGGUGUUUGGAGCAGGAGUUGAAACAGCUUCCUUUGGACCACAGCGUUUCAGGAACUUCUUAAAGUCAUGUGCUCUACCAACUGAGCUAUGAAGGUGCUUAUAGACACAAACGCAGAAAACAUAGUGGCUUCGGCGACACACUUUGCCAACAAUACAAUUGGACCCACAUGGUCAAUGAAAAAGGUUGAACAGUGCAUAGACCAAUGAAAUCUGGUGUUUGGAGCAGGAGUUGAACCAGCGACCUUUGGACCACAGCGUUUCAGGAACUUCUUAAAGUCAUGUGCUCUACCAACUGAGCUAUGAAGGUGCUUAUAGAUACAAACGCAGAAAACAUAGUGGCUUCGGCGACACACUUUGCCAACAUAACUAUUGAACCAACAUGGUCAAUGAAAAAGGUUGAACAGUGCAUAUACAAAUGAAAUCUGGUGUUUGGAGCUGGAGUUGAACCAGCGACCUUUGGACCACAGCGUUUCAGGAACUUCUUAAAGUCAUGUGCUCUACCAACUGAGCUAUGAAGGUGCUUAUAGAUAAAAACGCAGAAAACAUAGUGGCUUCGGCGACACACUUUGCCAACAUAACUAUUGAACCAACAUGGUCAAUGAAAAAGGAUGAACAGUGCAUACACCAAUGAAAUCUGGUGUUUGGAGCUGGAGUUGAACCAGUGUCCUUUGGACCACAGCGUUUAAGGAACUUCUUAAAGUCAUGUGCUCUACCAACUGAGCUAUGAAGGUGCUUAUAGAUAAAAACGCAGAAAACAUAGUGGCUUCGGCGACACACUUUGCCAUCAAUACACUUGGACCCACAUGGUCAAUGAAAAAGGUUGAACAGUGCUUAGACAAAUGAAAUCUGGUGUUUGGAGCAGGAGUUGAACCAGCAACCUUUGGAACACAGCAUUUCAGGAACUUCUUAAAGUCAUGUGCUCUACCAACUGAGCUAUGAAGGUGCUUAUAGAUAAAAACGCAGAAAACAUAGUGGCUUCGGCGACACACUUUGCCAAAACAACAAUCAAGCCACCUGGUCAAUGAAAAAGGAUGAACAGUGCAUAUACAAAUGAAAUCUGGUGCUUCGAGCUGGAGUUGAACCAGGGACCUUUGGACCACAGCGUUUCAGGAACUUCUUACAGUCAUGUGCUCUACCAACUGAGCUAUGAAGGUGCUUAUAGAUGAAAACGCAGAAAACAUAGUGGCUUCGGCGACACACUUUGCCAACACAACAAUCAAGCCACCUGGUCAAUGAAAAAGGUUGAACAGUGCAUAAAUCAAUGAAAUCUGGUGUUUGGAGCAGGAGUUGAACCAGCAACCUUUGGACCACAGCAUUUCAGGAACUUCUUAAAGUCAUGUGCUCUACCAACUGAGCUAUGAAGGUGCUUAUAGAUAAAAACGCAGAAAACAUAGUGGCUUCGGCGACACACUUUGCCAACAUAACUAUUGAACCAACAUGGUCAAUGAAAAAGGAUGAACAGUGCAUACACCAAUGAAAUCUGGUGUUUGGAGCUGGAGUUGAACCAGCGUCCUUUGGACCACAGCGUUUAAGGAACUUCUUAAAGUCAUGUGCUCUACCAACUGAGCUAUGAAGGUGCUUAUAGAGACAACCGCAGAAAACAUAGUGGCUUCGGCGACACACUUUGCCAACAUAACUAUUGAACCAACAUGGUCAAUGAAAAAGGUUGAACAGUGCAUACACCAAUGAAAUCUGGUGCUUGGAGCUGGAGUUGAACCAGGGACCUUUGGACCACAGCGUUUCAGGAA
rnacentral:lncRNA from 1 species